AUCCUUUUUCUCACUGCUAAAAAAAGAGAGGCCAGGAAUACUAACCAGCUAAGUAAAGAACUCUUGGAAGACAAAGUGAUCUUUAUGGAGCACUGCGCAGGACUUGACUUCCACCUAGGCAUAUCUUAGAUGUUUACUCUGAUGUAAAUGGAAUCGCAGCUAACAGGAUUUCUUUCCCCCGUUUAUUUCAAAGCUAAAAUAUCUCGGAUUUUAUGUGUUUUGUCUUAAUGGGAUACCAGCUACCUAAAUAUGCAACUGUUUUUCAUAAAGCUAUUGGCUUGUGUUAUGAAGGUGAAUCAGUGAUCUGAAAUUUGGGGCUGGAUGGGCACCUUUGGAAACAGUACAUAGAAGAACAUUGAAAACAUAAAAUAAUCACUCAGAAUCCCAGAGUCGUAGAGUCAGAGGAUGCGAAAGCUUGGACCUCAAGACAUGGUUGCUUGCACUACCCGACCGUCAGGAAGAUCAAAUUAAAUACAGUGCCUGAAAUAUAGGCAUUAUUCAGCAAUAUCAAG